rnacentral:tRNA from 4 species
CGGGAUGUGGCGCAGUUUGGCUAGCGCAGGGCGUUUGGGGCGCCAAGGUCGGAGGUUCAAAUCCUCUCAUCCCGAC